CCUACGGGUCGCAGCAGUAGGGAAUCUUCCACAAUGGACGAAAGUCUGAUGGAGCAAUGCCGCGUGAGCGAAGAAGGUUUUCGGAUCGUAAAGCUCUGUUGUAAGGGAAGAACACGUAAGGGAAUAACUGCCCGUAUCUUGACGGUACCUUAUUAGAAAGCCACGGCUAACUACGUGCCAGCAGCCGCGGUAAUACGUAGGUGGCAAGCGUUGUCCGGAAUUAUUGGGCGUAAAGCGCGCGCAGGCGGUUCUUUAAGUCUGAUGUGAAAGCCCAUGGCUCAACCGUGGAGGGUCAUUGGAAACUGGAGAACUUGAGUACAGAAGAGGAAAGCGGAACUCCACGUGUAGCGGUGAAAUGCGUAGAGAUGUGGAGGAACACCAGUGGCGAAGGCGGCUUUCUGGUCUGUAACUGACGCUGAGGCGCGAAAGCGUGGGGAGCAAACAGGAUUAGAUACCCGAGUAGUC
rnacentral:rRNA from 1 species